rnacentral:rRNA from 2 species
AUGAACCAAACGUCGAGUUAAGGGGCCUAAAUGAAUGCUCAUUCAGAUCCCAUUGAAAGGCGUUGGUUGCUAUAGACAGCAGGACGGUGGCCAUGGAAGUUGGAAUCCGCUAAGGAGUGUGUAACAACUCACCUGCCGAAGCAACUAGCCCUUAAAAUGGUAUGGCGCUCAAGCAUUCUCCCGAUACUCGACCGCCGGGCGCACUACCGGCCUCGCUCUCAAGGCGAGGUCUCGAAGCCCCGGUGAGUAGGAGGGUCGCAGUGGUGAGCGCUGAAGGGUUUCGGCGUGGGCCGGCCUGGAGCCGCCACUGGUGCAGAUCUUGGUGGUAGUAGCAAAUACUCGAGAGAGACUCCCUUGAUGACCGAAGCGGAGAAGGGUUCCA